CAUUGAAACGACGUUGGUAAUAAUCAACUUUUUGAAACGAGAACCGCCCUCGUCUUGUCCAAAGAGAAUCGGAGGCUCCAACAAAUGCCUGUGGCAAUUGCAAUUGCAGCAGCGCCAAAUCUUCGUCACUUCAAGAAACUGGGCGCGAUUAUCAAUACUCGAGAGAAGAAAUUCAAUACUCGAUUAUCUUCCUCACUGGGCGCGGUUCCUCGAGAGAAGAAAGAUAUGGUUGCAACAGCCAGUAGCAGUAGCGGAGAUUCAGGCGCAUACACGACGAUUAAAGAGAUUGUAAGAUUUGAAAGAGAAAUCAAGAAGAGCAAGUUCAUCGCAAUUGCUGGUCCUGUCUCUAAUGAGCAAUCUGCCUUCUCUUUUCUCUCCCAGGUGCGGGAUCCGCGAGCUACUCACAAUUGCUGGGCGUAUCAGGUUGGAGAUCAAUACAGGUCUAAUGAUGAUGGCGAGCCAUCUGGUACAGCUGGUAAACCAAUUCAUUCUGCAAUUGUUUCUUCAGGUAUUGACAGAGUCAUGGUGGUUGUGAUCAGGCAUUUUGGAGGUAUCAAACUUGGCACUGGGGGACUAGUCAGGGCUUAUGGAGGAGUAGCUUCUGAAUGCCUGAAGAGUGCCCAAACUUGUGUUGUGAAAUCUAAGGUUCCAAUGGGUGUGGAGGUACCAUUCGAUCUUUUAGGGGUCUUGUACCACCAGUUACAAUCUUUUCAAGUUGAGGACAUUAAACAGGAUUAUGACAGUGGUAAAGAUGGUAUUACGAUGGUGACAUUCAAGGUUGAUUUCGAUUGUGUUGAGAAGUUGGAGGAUGCUAUCAAAUCUAACUGUAGCCGUGAUUUAGUCUUUUACAAGCGAUAAAUUAUACAGCUUAGUACGUCUACAUAAAUGCAGAGAGGGACAGAGGGGAGAUGCACAUCAAUAUAACGAUGAAAUCAAGUGCGCAUCCAAUAAAUGGUGGGCGGUAUGAGAAGCAAGCGGCAGUACAUUCUUAUUUAAUUGAUGAUGACAACUAUCAAGGAACCUUUGUCAAUUUAAGGAGUUGUUUCAUUUGACUAUGGUUUCAUGGGAAGCAAUAAUUGAAAUGGGAUUAUGGUGGAAGUCGUGGUGCUACCUAAAGGUAUAUUAAUUUUGUUUUGGUGGAAGUCGUGGUGCCUACCUAAAGGUAUAUUAAUUUUGUUUCUUUCAACCUUCAUCUGGUUAUAAUAGCAUCCACUGCUCAGCGGAAGUUCACAUCAACCAUCAGACCCAGAACUGCAAACAGUCCAAAAUAUAGCAUUACCUAUAGGCUAGUGGAAGCCAUUCUAUGUUUAAAUGGGAGUCUUGUGUUGAAGAAGAUGAGAUUUUGAUGGAAACCAUUUUAUGUUUGAAUAGAAGGACAAGGAUCUUGGGUGUAUUUACCAAUCAUUAUACUUGUG